GAUGAACGCUGGCGGCGUGCUUAACACAUGCAAGUCGAACGGAAAGGCCACAGCUUGCUGUGGUACUCGAGUGGCGAACGGGUGAGUAACACGUGGGUGAUCUGCCCUGUACUUCGGGAUAAGCUUGGGAAACUGGGUCUAAUACCGGAUAGGAAUCACAUGUGGGUGUGUGGUUGGAAAGCUUUUGCGGUAUGGGAUGAGCUCGCGGCCUAUCAGCUUGUUGGUGGGGUAAUGGCCUACCAAGGCGUCGACGGGUAGCCGGCCUGAGAGGGUGUACGGCCACAUUGGGACUGAGAGACGGCCCAGACUCCUACGGGAGGCAGCAGUGGGGAAUAUUGCACAAUGGGCGCAAGCCUGAUGCAGCGACGCCGCGUGGGGGAUGACGGCCUUCGGGUUGUAAACUCCUUUCGUCAGGGACGAAGCGAAAGUGACGGUACCUGGAUAAGAAGCACCGGCUAACUACGUG
rnacentral:rRNA from 1 species